CAGUCGCCACGGUAAUACGGGGGGCGCGAGCGUUACCCGGAUUUACUGGGCGUAAAGGGCGUGUAGGCGGCCUGGGGCGUCCCAUGUGAAAGGCCACGGCUCAACCGUGGAGGAGCGUGGGAUACGCUCAGGCUAGAGGGUGGGAGAGGGUGGUGGAAUUCCCGGAGUAGCGGUGAAAUGCGCAGAUACCGGGAGGAACGCCGAUGGCGAAGGCAGCCACCUGGUCCACUUCUGACGCUGAGGCGCGAAAGCGUGGGGAGCAAACCGGAUUAGAUACCCGGGUAGUCCCUGUCUCUUAUAC
rnacentral:rRNA from 1 species